CCUUCUCCUUUACCCAAAAUUCAUCACAUUCUCCCUACUUAAGUCAUUACCUCACUCUUAUUUUGUCUUCAUAAAAAAAUCACCAAUUUAUAAGACCUCUAGGCUAGAUUUCUUGGUUAGCAACUUCUCUUUUUUUGAGAUUUUUCGAUGGGGGAAGACGACGAAGAACUCCUACGUAAACAAAAAAGAUUGGAAUUGUCAAAUGAAGUAAACAGAAAAGUCAGGAACCGUCAACUGAUUACUUAAAGAAAAAACCUUGUUUUAUGUAUUAUGGCCAGAAUAAUGAUUUAGUGUUGUAUUAAUAUGUCUGAGAUGUCGUUUGUUAUUAUGGUUGGUUUUUUAAAGCAUUAUGGUCCCUAUGUGAAACAAGCAAAGGGUGUAUGUAUGAAGCUUAUAGGUAGUACAUUUGUGCUUUGAGCAUAUUUAUGAAUGGUUGUAGUAAUUGGAUGCAUUAUAAACAUUAGUUGAAAUGUUAUGUCAUGCAUAAAUUAAAGAGGACACACAUACAUAUAAUCUUGUUUGGAAAAGAAAGAUUGUAAGGACCGAUUGCUCUACAUUCAGUCACAUCAUCAUGAUCCCGAAACAAUUUUUUUUUAGCUGCGGGACGAAAUUCUAUCACCAAUUUCUAG
rnacentral:lncRNA from 1 species